rnacentral:rRNA from 1 species
AGAGUUUGAUCCUGGCUCAGGAUGAACGCUAGCGGCAGGCCUAAUACAUGCAAGUCGAGGGGUAAGGCUCUUUCGGGAGUACACGACCGGCGCACGGGUGCGUAACGCGUAUGCAACCUACCUUUAACUGGGGAAUAGCCCCGAGAAAUCGGGAUUAAUACCUCAUAGUAUCAUCGAAAGGCAUGUUUUGAUAAUUAAAGCUCAGGCGGUUUUUGAUGAACAUGCGUGUCAUUAGUUUGUUGGUGAGGUAACGGCUCACCAAGGCUACGAUGUCUAGGGGUUCUGAGAGGAUGAUCCCCCACACUGGUACUGAGACACGGACCAGACUCCUACGGGAGGCAGCAGUAAGGAAUAUUGCGCAAUGGAGGCAACUCUGACGCAGCCAUGCCGCGUGCAGGAAGAAGGCCUUAUGGGUCGUAAACUUCUUUUGUACGGGAAUAACCCUCCGAACGUGUUCGGAGCUGAAGGUACCGUAAGAAUAAGGAUCGGCUAACUCCGUGCCAGCAGCCGCGGUAAUACGGAGGAUCCAAGCGUUAUCCGGAUUUACUGGGUUUAAAGGGUGCGUAGGCGGAUUGAUAAGUCAGUGGUGAAAGCCUGCAGCUUAACUGCAGAACUGCCAUUGAUACUGAAAAGCUUGAGUACAGUUGAGGUAGGUGGAAUGUGUUGUGUAGCGGUGAAAUGCAUAGAUAUGACACAGAACGCCGAUUGCGAAGGCAGCUUACUAAGCCAUUACUGACGCUGAGGCACGAAAGCGUGGGGAUCGAACAGGAUUAGAUACCCUGGUAGUCCACGCCGUAAACGAUGAUCACUCGCUGUAUGCGAUACACAGUAUGCGGCCAAGCGAAAGCAUUAAGUGAUCCACCUGGGGAGUACGAUCGCAAGGUUGAAACUCAAAGGAAUUGACGGGGGCCCGCACAAGCGGAGGAACAUGUGGUUUAAUUCGAUGAUACGCGAGGAACCUUACCUGGGCUUAAAUGUAGGCUGCAUUCGGCUGAAAGGCUGAUUCCCUUCGGGGCUGCUUACAAGGUGCUGCAUGGUUGUCGUCAGCUCGUGCCGUGAGGUGUCGGGUUAAGUCCCAUAACGAGCGCAACCCUUAUCGUUAGUUGCCAGCGGAUCAUGCCGGGGACUCUAGCGAGACUGCCACCGUAAGGUGUGAGGAAGGUGGGGAUGACGUCAAGUCCUCAUGGCCCUUAUGUCCAGGGCUACACACGUGCUACAAUGGCCGGUACAAAGGGCAGCAAAGCCGCGAGGAGAUGCUAAUCUCUAAAGUCGGUCCCAGUUCGGAUUGGAGUCUGCAACCCGACUCCAUGAAGUUGGAUUCGCUAGUAAUCGCGCAUCAGCCAUGGCGCGGUGAAUACGUUCCCGGGCCUUGUACACACCGCCCGUCAAACCAUGGGAGCUGGGGGUGCCUGAAGUCUGCCACCGCAAGGAGCGGCCUAGGGUAAAACCAGUGACUGGGGUUAAGUCGUAACAAGGUAACC